CGCCGUCGCCGUUCCCCAGCAUCGCGAAACCCGCCCUCGCCGUCUCCAUGCACGCACUCGCCGCCGCCUCAUCCUCCCAUCCCCAUCUCCCUCAUCUCCCCCUUGGAGGACUCAAGGAGUGGCAUCGGAUUGCAGUUAACUGCCCUGGGCAGCCCGAUCUAGCGUCUGGUGCGCGCCGUUGGCAGCCAGCGGUGGCCUGCCGAGCGCCGCAGGGAAGCCACGAGCACACGCUGUCACGGGAGGAAGCAGGCGGAGCACACAGGCCUUUCUGUUUAGCCCGCCAGGUAGAUCGGAUUUAGCGAGAUGCUUGCGGCGGUGAUCCAUUGCCACCAGUAACAGGGAAAAGCAGGCAGCUAGCGGCCGAUCCAUCUCUGACGACAACGCUAGCGGCCGAUCCAUCUUUGCCUCUACCCACGCCGCCGCCGAGCCGGCCACUCCCUGAUACGGGCACAGCGCCGCUGCGGCGGCUCACCAGCUCCAACCUCUGUCCUCCGAUACUCCACUGUCCGGUCGCAAAUGCUCCUCCAUGGAACGGCUGAUGGCUACACACCGUUGUGUAUUCUUGGAGCUGAAAGACUCGGAAGAAGUAAUAUAUCGGCAAUAGCUAGUUCCAUUAAUCAAAUAUCAUCUGGAAGCUAUCCAUCGACUACAGUAAUGUUAAACCAGGUCGGAGCAUCCAUCUUCUAAAUGAAGGUGGAAAUAUAGUCAGUAUCAUCCGCAGUGGUAAAGCUGCAGAUAUAGCUUCUCAUUCAGAGUGUCUAAUGUUCAGACCUCCAAUGGCAAGAGCAAAUGCACCUUGUGUCUCAGCAUCCGGCAAAAUCCUACUGCCACAACCUGUGGACAUGUUUUCUGCUGUGCAGGAACUCAAUAUAGUUUGGUCACUAUGAAGCCAAGCAGCAGUUCGGACAACCAGGUGAUUUGUCAAGCUCUCUUGGAGGCUGCAGCUCACUGUGCAUGUGAGAAAACAACUGGUUUGAGAAGUUUGGUUCCUAAAACUUAGUGUUCCAGAUUUUCAUCGGUUGUGUCUCUUGAUGCUGUUGAAGUACUACAAAGAAAAGGUCACGUACGCCACCUGCAAAGAGGCCUACAAAAGAGGCUUUUUGGUAUAUCACGAUGACAAGAAAGAAGGACAAGUUCAAUGUGCUCAACGAUGCUGGCCCAGCUUCAUCAUCUUAUGAGAAUUGUUCCGGCAGGAUGUGGAUCUUAACUGGUACCCAAUAAAAUUAGAAAGCAAGAACAAUGAGAUUUACAAUGGUAGCAAAGUGUGUUAUCUUUAUACAUACACUUCUUAGGAGAUGGAAUCAUGGUGUAAAGCAUUUUGUAUUGCAGCUACUGCUGACAAGGAAAAAAAUAAGCCGGCAUGCUAAGCUGAGCGAUAAGUUCCUC